rnacentral:rRNA from 1 species
CAGUAGCCGCGGGAAUACGUAGGGUGCAAGCGUUAAUCGGAAUUACUGGGCGUAAAGCGUGCGCAGGCGGUUUGUUAAGACAGAUGUGAAAUCCCCGGGCUUAACCUGGGAACUGCAUUUGUGACUGGCAAGCUAGAGUCUGGCAGAGGGGGGUGGAAUUCCGCGUGUAGCAGUGAAAUGCGUAGAUACGCGGAGGAACACCGAUGGCGAAGGCAGCCCCCUGGGCCAACACUGACGCUCAUGCACGAAAGCGUGGGGAGCAAACAGGAUUAGAUACCCCGGUAGUCCCUGUCUCUUAUAC